UUUACAGGGCCAAGCCACUGACAUUCAGAUACACGCAGAAGAGAUUCUCCGAUUAAAAGACCGGCUCAAUAAUCUUUAUGUUAAACAUACUGGCCUUUCUUUAGAAAAAAUUGGCCCAAUGAUGGAACGUGAUAAGUUUAUGGAAGCAAGUGAAGCUAAGGAAAUAGGACUGAUUGAUCAAGUCUUGACUAGCCCACCUAAAGUAGGAGAUACACCAGCUGACACUCCAGAGUAACCCAGUAUUUGCUUCCUCUUAUCACAGUAGCACCCCAUCAUAAGUAAACAAGAAUCUACAAUGAGCAAAUAUUAUAAAAAGUAUUCAUUAAAGUAAAUGUAUUCCUA